UUCCAGCUCCAAUAGCGUAUAUUAAAGUUGUUGCAGUUAAAAAGCUCGUAGUUGAAUUUCGGGGUUAGUAGGUUGGUCAUGCCUCUGGUAUGUACUGAUCUCACUGAUUCCUCCUUCCUUAUGAACCGUAAUGCCAUUAAUUUGGUGUUGCGGGGAAUUUGGACUGUUACUUUGAAAAAAUUAGAGUGUUUAAAGCAGGCUAACGCUUGAAUACAUUAGCAUGGAAUAAUGAAAUAGGACGUUCGAUCUUAUUUUGUUGGUUUCUAGGAUUGACGUAAUGAUUAAUAGGGAUAGUUGGGGGCAUUAGUAUUCAAUUGUCAGAGGUGAAAUUCUUGGAUUUAUUGAAGACUAGCUACUGCGAAAGCAUUUGCCAAGGAUGUUUUCAUUAAUCAAGAACGAAAGUUAGGGGAUCGAAGACGAUCAGAUACCGUCGUAGUCUUAACCAUAAACUAUGCCGACUAGGGAUCGG
rnacentral:rRNA from 1 species